CCUACGGGGGGCAGCAGUAGGGAAUCUUGCACAAUGGACGAAAGUCUGAUGGAGCAACGCCGCGUGAGUGAAGAAGGGUUUCGGCUCGUAAAGCUCCGUUGGUAGUGAAGAAAGAUAGAGGUAGUAACUGGCCUUGAUUUGACGGUAAUUACUUAGAAAGUCAAGGCUAACUACGUGCCAGCCGCCGCGGUCAUACGGAGGUGGCAAGCGUUGUCCGGAUUUGUUGGGAGUAAAGCGAGUGCAGGCGGUUCGAUAAGUCUGAUGUGAAAGCCGUCGGCUCAACCGGAGAAGUGCAUCAGAAACUGGUGAUCUUGAGUGCAGGAGAGGCGGGUGGAACUCCAUGUGUAGCGGUGAAAUGCUUAGAUAUCUGGAAGAACCCCGGUGGCGAAGGCAGCUCUCUGGUCUGCAACUGACGCUGAGGCUCGAAAGCGUGGGUAGCGAACAGGAUUAGAUACCCUUGUAGUC
rnacentral:rRNA from 1 species